GCUUACGGCCAUACCAACCUGGCUAUGCCCGAUCUCGUCUGCUCUCGGAAGCUAAACAGGUUUGGGCCUGGUUAGUACUUGGAUGGGAGACCGCCUGGGAAUACCAGGUGCUGUAAGCU
ensembl:rRNA 5S_rRNA 5S ribosomal RNA